rnacentral:lncRNA from 1 species
UACUGAAAGCAUCUCAAAAAUAAAAUCACGAGUAUCUGCAGAUCACUAUGAGACUGGACUGGAACAUUACCUUCAGACACAUUGAUAUGACUACAUGCUGGACAUUUUCUUGCGGAAAUCCAAAAGAAAUCCCCAUUUUCUUGCAGAAAUCUAAAAUAAUCUCCCCUAUGUGCAAGUCAGACUGAGCACCACUCCCAAGACCAUGACCUCCCCUGCAGCCCUGCUCCUUCCCACUCACCUCUCCUCUUGAGAAAGCCACCUCCCACCACCCAGUCUGCAGUGCCAGAAAACUGGAAACCAGCCCCUAAGCUGCUUUCACCUUCGGCCCAUUUCUCACUAGCCAGCCUCUCCCACGGCCUCCCCAGUUUCUUCAAAUACACCCCCUCCACUAUUCA